rnacentral:lncRNA from 1 species
UGAAGGUAGAGAUAUUUGAACGCGAGAUAAUGGAUGUAAAAGAUGGAUAUUACGGUCAAGAUCAAAGGUGAGCAACCAACCAUAUGGAGUUCCCCAACAUCUUGUUCGUUUAGCUUGAGGCAAAUAAUAAUUGAAAAGCCUUUUGGUAGAAUGACAAUAAAAAGAACGAAUUGAUCCUUUCUUAAACUGUUUGUCGUUUUUACUUCUAGCUAGCAUUAGCCAAGGAGCACAACGGAUAAUAUUACUGUUUUGUUUUUUCAGUACAGAAUUCCAUGACUUGCAAACACAACUAAAUUGGGCAAAUUCAUUAGGAUAAGGUGGCAGUCGUUUGGCAACAAGAUCAAUGAUUUCUUCUGGCAAUUCAGACCAAUUUGCCAUAAUAUUAUUAUAUUAGAGCAACCGUUUUUCUGAAUUCACAACUUUUCUGAAUUUUCAGAUUAAAUCUCCAUCUAAGAAAUCAGUAGUCCUAUAUAUUUAUAGUAAAAACAAAAACUGCAAUAGGAUUUCUUUUCCAAUUAAGGUUCGAAAAUUCAGACAGAGUACCCCUAGUACUAAUUGUUUCAGAAGUCAGCACCUUCAAGGCAAUUUCGUUUUAGCUAAAGUUAAGAAACUUACCUUUAACAACAACAGCAAAACAGAAAGAGUUACCAGACCUUGAAUUAGAAACUAGAACAGAGAACAACCGCUUCAGAUCUUUAAGCCAACAAAGAGAGAGAGAGUGCAGAUCUAGGGUUAAUCAACAACAUAAGAUACGAUGAUGAUGAUGAUAUAAGCUGUAAGCAACCUGUUGCCCAAGUACAACUGCUUUUAAGUUUUAAUGCUGUUUGGUUGGGUAAAGUUGUCAAACACUUCAACAUACAUACUAAUAAAGUGAGUUUUGUUUUUUUUUCUUAAUAUUAUUUUAAGAAACACUAAAGUUUGGUACCGAAGGAAGUAUUCAAGCAAUUGCCCUUUUAAUUAAUCAAGGUGUUGUUGACAAUAUACUCCAACAUGAUUUUUUUUUUUGGUAGAUUUUGAUACAUACAUAUACCUACAUACAAUGAUGCCUUAAAUGCUCACUAUGGGACAGAGAAGAUGUAGCUAGCUCUGUUCGCUUUUGACAAGGAAAUAUCAGAUGAAAGUGGACCUUGGCCAUGACAGGAAACAGGGAAGGGGUGCUUCUGGGUUUCGUCAGUAAUAUUUAGGCUGCUGUUGUGGUGGGCAUCUAAACGUGGCCACAGUGUCGUGAAUGCAGCUGCUAUGUGGAGCAAUGCUCAUGAAGUCAUUACAGCAUACCAAACCAUAUAACUUCCUGUCUAGACAUAAAGGUAUCAAAUCUAAUCCCUUUCAUCCCUUCCAGUAAACUGUCAGAAACUGUAAAUUGUCAACUAAAGUGAAAAAGAAAACCAUGUAUACUCAUCUUAUGUAAUAUAAAGUUUGGCCAGCAUACCAAACUGUAUAACACAGCAAUGCAGUAUUUCAACAAGUAGCUAUGUUGGAGCUUAAACAUCAACGUCUCUUAUCUUGAUACACUUGCCAGGAAGUAUGAAUAUAUAAAUGAAAAAAUAUAUUGGAUACAUCUUACCGCUUGUAAUGAGUCUGUUUGCACUUUGCACUUGUACUCUCUCUAUGCCCAAUGACAUUGGCACUUUACUACUUGCAGUCCCGUUAAGCUAGCUUAUUGUUCAAUGGAGCUUAUAGGAUCGCCUCUUGAUAUGAGAUUUGGAGACAAUGCAAAAAGAUUUAUCUACUGUUUCUAUGAAGAAGAGUGUUAAAAAUUGACAAAUUAUAAGAAGAUUAGGAGUUAUUAUGCCGAAUAGGUGCAGCUUGUGUGAAUUGGAUAAAGAAGGCUCCCCAAUGGUAUGGUAUUGGAUCAUUGGAUGCUUGACAAAGAUGAAAGAAGGGGACACAGGUUCAGUGAGCUGUUGCAGAGGUGAUCGAGGAAUAGUUAACACAGGAUUAGGUUAACUGUCGGGAAUCAAUAUGUAGCUAAAACUUACAAUGCAUUGGAGAAGGAACACUUCUGUUAUAAGAACUGAUGUAUUCUUUGUUUUUUGCAUCAAUAAAUAACAUCUCUUUUAUCCACCUAAAAACUAGAUUUGCAAAAAAUAGCUUCCUUUUUUUCUUUCUUUCUGAGUAUGCCCUCAUAUUUAGCUCCUUCAUUACCAAGCUACCAUCUGUGUUCAAGCUUACCCAUGG